rnacentral:rRNA from 1 species
UUCGAAGGGGGCUAGCGUUGCUCGGAAUCACUGGGCGUAAAGGGUGCGUAGGCGGGUUUCUAAGUCAGAGGUGAAAGCCCGGGGCUCAACUCCGGAAUUGCCUUUAAAACUGCAUCGCUAGAAUUGUGGAGAGGCAAGUGGAAUUCCGAGUGUAGAGGUGAAAUUCGUAGAUAUUCGGAAGAACACCAGUGGCGAAGGCGACUUACUGGACACAUAUUGACGCUGAGGUGCGAAAGCGUGGGGAGCAAACAGG